rnacentral:rRNA from 1 species
CGUGUAGGCGGUUUGGUAAGUCAGAUGUAAAAGGCUCCGGCUUAACCGGGGAUGGUCAUUUGAAACUGCCAGGCUUGAGUUCGAGAGAGGGUAGCGGAAUUCCCAGUGUAGCGGUGAAAUGCGUAGAUAUUGGGAAGAACACCAGUAGCGAAGGCGGCUACCUGGCUCGCAACUGACGCUAAGGCGCGAAAGCGUGGGGAGCAAACA